rnacentral:rRNA from 1 species
GAUGAACGCUGGCGGCGUGCCUAAUACAUGCAAGUCGAGCGAACUGAUUAGAAGCUUGCUUCUAUGACGUUAGCGGCGGACGGGUGAGUAACACGUGGGCAACCUGCCUGUAAGACUGGGAUAACUUCGGGAAACCGAAGCUAAUACCGGAUAGGAUCUUCUCCUUCAUGGGAGAUGAUUGAAAGAUGGUUUCGGCUAUCACUUACAGAUGGGCCCGCGGUGCAUUAGCUAGUUGGUGAGGUAACGGCUCACCAAGGCAACGAUGCAUAGCCGACCUGAGAGGGUGAGCGGCCAAACUGGGACGGAGACACGGCCCAGACUCCGACGGGAGGCAGCAGGAGGGAAUCUUCCGAAAUGGACGAAAGUCUGACGGAGCAACGCCGCGUGAGUGAUGAAGGCUUUCGGGUCGUAAAACUCUGUUGUUAGGGAAGAACAAGUACGAGAGUAACUGCUCGUACCUUGACGGUACCUAACCAGAAAGCCACGGCUAACUACGUGCCAGCCGCCGCCGUAAGAC